AGAGUGUAAUCCUAUACACUGAAGUUUACUGGCUGGUUGUCGUGAGAUCUUUCCGAUCUCCGUCGACUAAUCUGCUUACCGAACUUCUUAUAUUC